CUGCCGGCGUGCUUACCAUGCAAGUCGACGGUGAAGCCAAGCUUGCUUGGUGGAUCAGUGGCGAACGGGUGAGUAACACGUGAGCAACCUGCCCUGGACUCUGGGAUAAGCGCUGGAAACGGCGUCUAAUACUGGAUAUGAGACGUGAUCGCAUGGUCGUGUUUGGAAAGAUUUUUCGGUCUGGGAUGGGCUCGCGGCCUAUCAGCUUGUUGGUGAGGUAAUGGCUCACCAAGGCGUCGACGGGUAGCCGGCCUGAGAGGGUGACCGGCCACACUGGGACUGAGACACGGCCCAGACUCCUACGGGAGGCAGCAGUGGGGAAUAUUGCACAAUGGGCGGAAGCCUGAUGCAGCAACGCCGCGUGAGGGAUGACGGCCUUCGGGUUGUAAACCUC
rnacentral:rRNA from 1 species